AACGCAACGUUGGUUCAAGAGACUGUCGAUCGGCUCCAUCCACAACUUCAAGGACUUCCGAGCGACAUUCCUUCAUCACUUCGCUAUCAACCCACUACUAGAAUAAAGACCUAUUAUGACCUAUUGGCUCGCAAGGUGCUGCAAGCGAGGCAGUGAGGCAACGAGGCAAGGAGCAAGAAGCAAGAUCUCUCCUCGCCAGACCGCCGAGGCAAGGAGGCGUGAUCGCUCCACACCGAGCAACGAGCGACCACCUCGCGGUUGGUCGGCUCACAAGCUGCUGCACGUGAGGUGACGAGGAAAGGAGCAAGAAGCAAGAUCUCUGCUCGCUAGGUAAUUGUAAUUUUUUUUUCUUAUUUAGUAAAUAGUUCUGUUGCUAGCGAAGAUACAGCAAGUGCCAACCACCGAGGCAAGGAGGGGAGAUCGCUCCUCGCCAGGCAAUGAGCCACCACCUCGCGAUCGAUCGUCUUGCAAGCUACUACAAACGAGGCAACGAGCAAGAAGCAAGAUCUCUGCUCGCCAGGUAAUUAUAAACCUUUUUGGCAUUUGAUUGAGAUUGUUGCAGCUAGUGUCAGACAUUCAACAUGAUUAUUUGGGGUAGUCGAAGAGGUGGCAGCACUGAAGGAUAGUGAAAGAAAGAGCAAGACUAUUAAAUAGGUUUAAGAGCAACUACACAUAUAAUGGGAUGUGCUCUUUGUUGAAUAGGACUGCAUACUUGAUGCUUGUGAAGAUGAGUACAGGGGAAUGAUUGUCAAUCCAGAGAUGUUACCAUGAAACACAAAUGUGUUUGCUCAUGCUCUUGAGGCAUUCAUUUCAAGCUGGAACAGAAGGUAUUUGAAAAUUGAAACACAAAAAUUGGACAUUUGGAUAAACUUGCCUAUCUAGAUUAGUAACUUAUGAUGAGAUAAAUUAACCUGCUUGAUUGUACAUUUGGAUAAACACAAAAAUUAGACAUUUGAUUAUCUAGUUGAUACCUCUUUUCAUGUUCUUGGUUGGAAUGUGAUUAAGCCUAAGAUGUGUAUCUCUGUCAUAAUUUAGCCUGCUUGAUUGUUUGUAAAUGAAUAAAACACUUGUUUUUGGAUUUAAUCUUGUAUUUGUUUCA